ACAUAAACCUUUGUACAGCUUCCAGAGUGUCUUAUCCUAAGUUAUGUUGCUUAAUUGGCAAUACAAUAGAAAAAUUUCAUUGGAAGAGAGAAAUGAAGAGAAAAUAUGCCCUUCUGUGUCCCUUUUUUAUAUGGUUUUCUGUCAGGGUGACUCCACUAUUAAGAUGCUGUGAUUUUUGCCACUUUCCUCUCACUUUGCUGGAAGAUUUCUCUUGCCAUGUGUUCACAGCUGUGGCCUGGAAAGUGUGUCAGGUUUCCCGACCUGCCUUUCUCUACCUUUUAAGAGGCAGCAUGAUAUCGGGGACCAUGUCCUUGGACUGAAAAUCAGAAGAACUAAUUGCUAAUCCUAGUUCUAUUAUUUUUUUAUAUGUGUAACUUCAAACAAGUCUGUUUGCCAUCAGAAGCUCCAUUUAUAAAAUGGAAGAGUCAGUAAUUCUCCAGUUUUUUAAAACUUUUUUUUACUACUAGAAUCCUUAUUUGCAAGUAGAAUUUUAUUCAAAAACGCCAACACACAAAGCAGAUGAAAGCGGACUCCCUUAGUGUGAAGUGAGGAAAGGCGGUGGCGUGCGGAGCCCUGCGCAUGAGAUCCUGUGCUCUCCCUCCACUCUGCUGCGUGCGCCCCUGGUCCCCUCACUCAGGAGACUGAGAACUUAUGAUAAAGCACAGAGCUAAAUGAGCCUUUCCAGACUGAAAUUCUGUGACUCAAUGACCAGUGACCUCACUCUUCUCCACUUGGAUGCAGAGCAUCUGGCUCCAUUUCAAUUUGUGUGUAUAAUGUCAGAGAAAGGAAAAGUCAGGAAGAAAAAACGUUGCAAAAUAUAAAAAAGGAAAACCCUCUUUUCCUAACAGACAGCAGAAAAUAGACUUUAAAUCUCUGUAGGAACGUUUGUUCCAUAGGCUGGAUUUCUCCUCUCACAUCUGCAGGCAUCACUCUCUGGGUUCGGAUCUGUGCGGGUGACCUUAGGGAGUCGAGGCUCUCCCUCAGCGCUGUGUGCAAGGCCGACUCUCCCUACAGACAAAGGCUUGCGCCCCUUCCCAA
rnacentral:lncRNA from 1 species